rnacentral:rRNA from 1 species
GACGAACGCUGGCGGCGUGCUUAACACAUGCAAGUCGAACGGAAAGGCCCUGCUUGCAGGGUACUCGAGUGGCGAACGGGUGAGUAACACGUGGGUGAUCUGCCCUGCACUUCGGGAUAAGCCUGGGAAACUGGGUCUAAUACCGGAUAGGAGCCACUUUCAGUGUGAUGGUUGGAAAGUUUUUUCGGUGUAGGAUGAGUUCGCGGCCUAUCAGCUUGUUGGUGGGGUAAUGGCCUACCAAGGCGCCGACGGGUAGCCGGACUGAGAGGGUGGACGGCGACACUGGGACUGAGAUGAGGCCCAGACGGCGACGGGUGGCAGAAGUGGGGAAGAUUGAACAAUGGGCGCAGGCCUGAUGAAGAGAGGCCGCGUGGGGGAUGACGGCCUUCGGGUUGUAAAAUCCCUUCGCUAGAGACGACGCUUUUUGUGACGGUACCUAGAUAAGAAGCACCGGCUAACUACGUG